rnacentral:rRNA from 1 species
GUCUCUUUGAAUUAUUUAUUAUAUAUGGAGUUUGACCUGCCCGGUGAUUAAUACUAUUUAACGGCCGCAGUACUUUGACUGUGCGAAGGUAGCGUAAUUAUUUGCCUUAUAAUUGAAGGCUUGUAUGAAUGGUUUGACGAGAAUAAUUCUGUCUUAAUUUAAUUUUUUUGAAUUUAACUUUUAGGUGAAGAGGCUUAAAUUUUAUUGAUAGACAAGAAGACCCUAUCGAGCUUAAAUUUUUAUUUGUAAAUUAUAAAUAUUUAUACUAUUAUUAUUUUAGUUGGGGUGACUGAGGAAUAGAAUUAGUUUCCUUAAAUUUAUAAUGUUUAUUUUCUGAUUUUGAUCCAUUUUUUUAAUGAUAGAUGGAAUUAGUUACCGUAGGGAUAACAGCAUAAUCCUUUUUGAGAGUUCAUAUCGAAAAAUGGGUUUGUGACCUCGAUGUUGGACUAAAAUAUCCUUAAGGUGUAGAGGCUUUAUAAGGUUGGUCUGUUCGACUAUUAAAAUUUU